rnacentral:snoRNA from 1 species
AUCACCUGGACGGAUCUGUUGUCCUCUUGGACGAUGGAACCGUCUAAAAUAUGGGGGCCGACUCUGCUUUUCCAUGCACGGUUGUUCCUCAAAUGUCGUAGAGCAAAUUGCCCUUCGGGAGGCGAUGGACGGUAUAUUCCUGAUCUUUCGCGUAGCCCCUGGGCUGUGACCGCGUAGAUAAACCAUACCUGCCACAGUU